CUUUAGCAUCCAAGAUAGUUUACUCUCUAACCAAUUCUCCGUUGAUUUAUUUAACAAAAUUGUGCUGAUCAUUAAAACCCUUAAGCUUUUUCUUGUACAUGUUGACCAACUCAAAUUAAACAAGGAGCGGCUGGAGUGGUGAACACAAAAAUUCAAGACAGUUUGUCAUCAUUUUGCUGUUUAUACAAGCCCCUGUAAUGCACCGAAAAAAAAGGUUAGAAAACUUACCUUUCAUAAUGAAUCCGGAUGUAAAAAAUGUAAAAAAGAGACAUAAAUGUGUUAAACAAUUAGAUAAUCUUAACCUGGACUUAUAGCCAACACAAGGAUCAUCUUGAAAUGGCUAAAUUAAACAGCAAUAAUCUCAACAAAAGCAACAUUUACAUGAUAAUACACCAUAUAAAACAAUAGCAAUUGCCUUAAAACAAUCAACAGCUUUUUGAACAUACAAGCGCCAUUGCUAAUGUAAACGCGCUGCCAGCUAUAAGGAGUUCAGUUAAUUGCAAAAAAGGAGCUGUUAUUUACAAGUUUUAGUAAUCUACCGAUAGGCCACUUAUACCGUUGGCCUCAACUCAUAACAUACAGUCUAUUAAUCCUUACACUUAUAAGCUGUCUCGUAAUCAUUACCGAGACUCAUUUUCAAAGCAAAAUUAUUAUUCUUUUUAGUGACCAAAUUACUUUUACAUGGAAAGACUGGACUUGGAUAUCCGAUUGUUGGAUUGUAAUUGCAGGCCAACUUGUGAAUCCACCGACUCUGUGAACAGUACCAGCCACACAACUGCUUUAAUGAAUUUCAAAUCAACUCAAUCCAUCCAGAUAGACAUUCAGUUUUUCAGGGCAAAGCCAGGCCCAUCUUUUUGAUUCCUUUUUUCCUCUUAAAUAUUAUUUUCUUUUCUAUUUUCUACCUUUUUCUUCUAGAUUUCCUCCUUUUUUCCGCUCUUCAUUUCUAACUAAUUAACAUUGCCAGUUUCAUCAAGACAAUGGAUCAGAAGGUGGAAGAUUAUAUUAAAAGAUUCAACUUAAGUGGUUAAUCAUUAACAUGGGCCAUAACACAGCUUAACAAUGUUGCUUCAACCAAACACUGACCAAAUGUUUAUUCAUAUUCAUCAACAAAACACAACAAUAUCUAAUCAAUUUAAAUGCUAAAUAGAAGCCAAUGUUUAUUCAAGUUACCUGAGGUUUCCUUGUUUUACCUACAACUUUUCAAAAAUCCAUUCAACACAGGAAAUAUUCCAGAUCAACUCAUUUCCAUAUCAACCAUGAGCCUAUCAAGUGUCUACGAAUCAUCUAACAAUUUGAAUACAAUCAAUGUAACUGAAACUUUGCUUCAUUUGAACUAAAAGUGGAAACCAUUCAACAGACCCAUUGAUGAUUCAAUUAAAUUGCUAUCAAAUGAA